UAGGCUAUAGAACUGUAUAUGUGUUCAUCUACCUCUGGUCUGUGGUGAUCAUCAUUAUUUCCUAUCUAUCUUCCUACCUGCAGAACAACUGGGAAGAAAAAUGUCCAUGGGCAGGCCAGUGAGACACUGAAGAUGGAGAAAGAGAGAUGGCAUAAAACUGAAUCACUGGGUUUGAGAACCAAAGGGCAACCUGUCAACUCAUUUCUAAGAUCCUUAGCAGAUGGUCUGUAAAAGGUAGUUUCCGUGGAUUGCAAAACCUUGAAAGCAUGGUGAAAAAAAAUAAGCUGAAAUCUCAGAUCUGCCUGGAUUUAAACCCUGAUGUCCUUACUGCUGCAUUUCCUCAGGACUUUCAAGCCCUCCAACUGAAAAUGCCAGCAUUAAGAACAGAGUCUCCCAAGAGGACUGCACAAACCCUGGGAGGGGUGUCAGGAAGCAUCCUGACCAGGCCUGCUUGUGAAUGACUGCAGAAAGGAAGAAAUUCCACCAAUACAAUAUUGUAAAGUAAUCAGCC
ensembl:lncRNA